rnacentral:lncRNA from 10 species
GAAAUUUUACAGCUGGGCCGCCGGGGGUGACAUCACAUAUGGGUAGGACCGUGAUGCCCACCUGAGCCUCAAACCAGUAAGUUUUUUAUUAAGGGUUUCAAAAGGGGAGGGGGUGUAAGAACAGGGAGUAGGUCACAUGCUUCAAAGGGCAAAAAGGAGAACUGCUGAUAAGGAUCCAACAAAGAUCACAAGGCAAAGGGCAAAAUCAAGGUGCACUGAUUUCGUAUUGUUCAAACACACAUGUUUUACAAUCAAUUUGUACAGUCAACACAAUUAUCACAGUGGUCCUGAGGGGACAUACAUCCUCAGCUUACGAAGAUAACAGGAUUAAAAGAUUAAAGUAAAGACAGGCAUAAGAAAUUAUACCAGUAUUAUUUGGGAACUGAUAAACGUCCAUGAAAUCUUCAAUCUACAAUUUAUGUUCCUCUGCCAUGGCUCCAGCCGGUCCCUCUUUUCGGGAUCCCUGACUUCUCACAACACCUUAGACCCUGAUGACAUGAAUGCUACUUCUUUUGUUUAUAUCCCAACUGAGACACUGUUCAUUUAUUUUUAUUCUUUAUUCUUUCUGUCCUUCAGAUUGGGUAAAUUCUAAUGAUUUUUUUCUUUAAGAAAAUGAAUUCUAUCCACUGUCAUUUUCACUCUAUUAUUGAACUCAUUGAUUGACAUUUUAUUUCAGUAUUCUCUUUUUCAGUUGUACAGUUUAAAUUUGUUAUUUUCUAACUUAGAUUUCUUCACUGAGAGUACUUUUUUUUUCUUUUCUUUCUUUUUUUUUUUUUUUGUUGCUAGGCUGGAGUGCAGUGGCACAAUCUCGGCUCACUGCAACCUCUGCCUCCCAGGUUCAAGCGAUUAUCCUGCCUCAGCCUCCCAAGUAGCUGGGACUACAGGCACGUGCCACCACGCCCAGCUAAUUUUUGUAUUUUUAGUAGAGACAGGGUUUCACCAUGUUGGCCAGGAUGAUCUCGAUCUCUUGACUUCAUGAUCCACCCGCCUCAGCCUCCCAACGUGCUGGGAUUACAGGCGUGAGCCACCGCACCCGGACUCAUUUAUUUUAAGAAAAUUUAUAAUUGCUUGUUGAAGCAGUUCCGCAAUGGCUACUUUAAAAUAUUCCUCAGAUAAUUCCAACAUCUGAUUCAUGUUGUUGUUCAUUGCCUUUUAUAGGUUAUGUUGUAAUUUUCUGGUUCUUGGUAUGACAAAUAAUUUUAGCUAUGAUCCUAGACAUUCUAUAUAUUGUGUUAAAAGUAUCCUAUAUUGAAUUAUUUAUUUAUUUAUUUUUUACAGGCAGUCCUCCUGUUGAGGUCCAGUGUAAAAGAUAAUUGGAUGUGUCUGUUCACCUUUAUUUUUGGACCACUGGGCAAAAGUGGGCACUAACUCAUACUCCUCAUUAGAGAUAGGUGGGGUGAAAAUUCAGCUCUCACCUAGACUCUGAUAACAGCUUCCCAGAAAGUUGGGGCAUUGACUCACACCACCUUAUUGCCUCCAAGUGGAUAUAGCAAAUUAGUUCUCCACUGGGCCACACUGACCCAGGAAGUGUGGGUGGAAGUAGGGAGUGGGGAAGCAGAGAGCUAGUUCAGACUACUUUGUUCCUGCAGAAUGGCUAGCAGAAUUUCAGCUCCCUGCUGGACCCUGAUGACACUGCUGGAGGAGAGUCGAGGAAAAUAGAAUGUCAAAUAGCUGCAACUCUCACAACCUCGGAUGACUUGAUGCUAGUUGGGGUAGGGGCUUAGAUCCCCCUUGAUCCUCUCCCCAACACCAGGGAAAGGGAAAAGCACAGAGUCAUCAAGCCAAUCUACCAUGAUUGUUCCAUCUUGUUGAUGCAGGGUAGAGGUAGAAGUUCAUUUUUGCAUUGGACCCCACUGAAGACUGUGGAACAGGUGGAGUGUCAAGUAGCUCUGCUUUACACUUCCUUGUUCAAUCUUGUUGCAGUUGGGUGGGUGUGAAGAUUCAGCUCUCCAGUGGAUUUCACUGACCCCCUCUGACAUUUCAAAGUAAUAAAUCAGCACCAUCUGUCCCCAGGCUCUGCUGCUUCUUCUCCUCCUUACACUGCUCAAGGGCAUUCAUCUUGUUUCUUCCAUUAGCACACACCAUAAAGAUGUGUUGUUCUGACACCGUCUGCCUGAAUUCCCACUUCUUAUUCAUUUGUUCUGUGCUUUCCAUGCUGGCCCGAUUUUCAGAUUUCAGAUCUUCCUUUGGAUUCAUGAUCCCGUGUACUCCCCUUUUCCUCUGAUGUCCCCUUAGUAUCUUCAUUUGAACCUUGGUUUGUGAACAAUACACAAAGUGAAUUGCUAGCAGAUGCUCAGCUUGUAGUUCCUUCCACUGUGAGAGUUACUGGAAGCUCGGCAUCCGUGAUGGUCUAAGGGGCUUCCGAGGUGAUCAGGCAGCGUCAGUCUUCAGCCGCUAAGCUGAGAAGAUCUGGGAAGGAGUCAGUCAGAGAGCCUUGGGCCAGAGUUCCAGGGGCUCUGGGAGUGGCUGCCAGGUGAGUUGAACAGUCCGAUUUUCAGUGGGGUCCCACACAGAUGUCACGUGUCUUAGGAGGAAUCCCGGGCUGCAGGCAUUCCUUGGCCCGGUGGCCAGAUUUCCGGCAAGUGUAGCAAGCUCCUGUGGGAGGAGGUUCUGGAGGAACGCCUGGCCGCUGCAGUUCAGGCGUUUGGAAGUUCUUGUGUGCUGGAGAUGUGGCUGGGGUUUGUCUCACAGUGGAGGCAAGGAGGAAUUGCAACUUUUUUCUAUUAUUGUACACCUUGAAGGUGAGGUUAAUUAAAUCCUGUUGUGGGGUUUGAGGGCCGGAAUUUAAUUUUUGGAGUUUUAUUUAAUGUCGGGAGCAGAUUGGGUAAUAAAAGGUAUUUUGAGAAUAAGACGGCCUUUUGACUUUUUAGGGUCUAGGGCUGUAAAGUGUCUCAGGGUUGCUGCCAAACAAGUCAUGAACUGGGCUGUAUUUUUAUAUUUGAUGAAAAAGCCUAAACACUAUCUGAUUUGGGAUAAAGAAAAAGGAGCAUUAACCUUGACUAUGCCUUUGGCUCCAGCAACCUUUUUAAGAGUAAAUUGCUGGGCAGGUGGGGGAGGGCUAGUCACGGAAUGAAACUGUAAGCUGGACC